GUGUCAGCAGCCGCGGUAAGACGAACCGUGCGAACGUUGUUCGGAAUCACUGGGCUUAAAGGGCGCGUAGGCGGCUUGCCAAGUCAGUGGUGAAAUCCCACAGCUUAACUGUGGAAGUGCCUUUGAUACUGGCGAGCUCGAGGGAGGUAGGGGUAUGUGGAACUUCUGGUGGAGCGGUGAAAUGCGUUGAUAUCAGAAGGAACGCCGGUGGCGAAAGCGACGUACUGGACCUCUUCUGACGCUGAGGCGCGAAAGCUAGGGGAGCAAACGGGAUUAGAUACCCUCGUAGUCC
rnacentral:rRNA from 1 species